rnacentral:snoRNA from 1 species
AUGCUAUGAUGGUUUCAUAGUUCAGCAGGUUGAAUCAUGAAAAGAUUUACUAUUUGUCCGAUGUGGGG